rnacentral:rRNA from 1 species
AUUGAACGCUGGCGGCAGGCCUAACACAUGCAAGUCGAGCGGAUGAAGGGAGCUUGCUCCUGGAUUCAGCGGCGGACGGGUGUGUAAUGCCUAGGAAUCUGCCUGGUAGUGGGGGAUAACGUCCGGAAACGGGCGCUAAUACCGCAUAAGUCCUGAGGGAGAAAGUGGGGGAUCUUCGGACCUCACGCUCUCAGAUGAGCCUAGGUCGGAUUAGCUAGUUUGUGGGGUAAAGGCCUACCAAGGCGACGAUCCGGAACUGGUCUGAGAGGAUGAUCAGUCACACUGGAACUGAGACACGGGCCAGACUCCUACGGGAGGCAGCAGUGGGGAAUAUUGGACAAUUGGCGAAAGCCUGAUCCAGCCAUGCCGCGUGUGUGAAGAAGGUCUUCCGAUUGGAAAGCACUUUAAGUUGGGAGGAAGGGCAGUAAGUUAAUACCUUGCUGUUUUGACGUUACCAACAGAAUAAGCACCGGCUAACUUCGUG